UACGUAGGGUGCAGGCGUUAAUCGGAAUUACUGGGCGUAAAGCGUGCGCAGGCGGUCUGCUAAGACAGGUGUGAAAUCCCCGGGCUUAACCUGGGAACUGCGUUUGAAACUGGGGGGCUAGAGUGCGGCAGAGGGGGGUGGAAUUCCACGUGUAGCAGUGAAAUGCGUAGAUAUGUGGAGGAACAUCGAUGGCGAAGGCAGCCCCCUGGGUCAACACUGACGCUCAUGCACGAAAGCGUGGGGAGCAAACAGG
rnacentral:rRNA from 1 species